ensembl:lncRNA
UCCUGAUCCUGAGUCCCUGGAUCAAGCCGUACCUGACACAAACACUCAUUUCUCAGUGAGGCGGAUUCUGUACCCACUGAGCCAGCAGGGAAGCCUAAUGGACAGAUGGAUGCCACAUGAAAGCCAGCCAGGUGAGGGUGUGACUGAACUUUACACUUUGACCUAGAACGGAUACUCAGUCAGGGUGCACCAGCCUGUCCACAUAGGUUAACAUGCUGAAAUACUUCUGCAGUUGAUCAAUAGCCACUGCCAAGCAU